rnacentral:RNase_P_RNA from 1 species
GCAGACCAGACGAUCGCGUGGCGGCACGUCCGUCAUGAGGAAAGUCCGGGCUCCGCAGGGCAGGGAUGCCGGAUAACGUCCGGCGCAGGCAACUGUAGGGAAAGUGCAGCAGAAACAUACCGCCGAAACAGUCAGGCUGUGGCAAGGUUGAAAUGGUGAGGCAAGAGCUCACCGGCGGCGCGGAGACGCGUCGGCCGUGUAAACCCCAUCCGGAGCAAGGUCGAAUCGGGCAGGAAAGGCAGCGGCCCGCUGCCGCCCGGGAGGUGGACCGCAUGAGCGGCGCAGCAAUGUGCCGCCUAGAUAGAUGACCGUCUAAUACAGAACCCGGCUUACAGAUCUGCCC